rnacentral:rRNA from 1 species
UACGAAGGGGGCUAGCGUUGUUCGGAAUCACUGGGCGUAAAGGGCGCGUAGGCGGCCACCGCAAGUCAGUUGUGAAAUCUCUGGGCUUAACCCAGAAAGGUCAACUGAUACUGCGGGGCUAGAGUGCAGAAGGGGCAACUGGAAUUCUCGGUGUAGCGGUGAAAUGCGUAGAUAUCGAGAGGAACACCUGCGGCGAAGGCGGGUUGCUGGGCUGACACUGACGCUGAUGCGCGAAAGCUAGGGGAGCGAACGGG